rnacentral:rRNA from 1 species
CCUACGGGCGGCUGCAGUCGAGAAUCAUUCACAAUGGGGGAAACCCUGAUGGUGCGACGCCGCGUGGGGGAAUGAAGGUCUUCGGAUUGUAAACCCCUGUCAUGUGGGAGCAAAUUAAAAAGAUCGUACCACAAGAGGCAGAGACGGCUAACUCUGUGCCAGCAGCCGCGGUAAUACAGAGGUCUCAAGCGUUGUUCGGAAUCACUGGGCGGAAAGCGUGCGUAGGCUGUUUCGUAAGUCGUGUGUGAAAGGCGCGGGCUCAACCCGCGGACGGCACAUGAUACUGCGAGACUAGAGUAAUGGAGGGGGAACCGGAAUUCUCGGUGUAGCAGUGAAAUGCGUAGAUAUCGAGAGGAACACUCGUGGCGAAGGCGGGUUCCUGGACAGUAACUGACGCUGAGGCACGAAGGCCAGGGGAGCGAAAGGGAUUAGAUACCCUUGUAGUC